rnacentral:tRNA from 1 species
GGAGGGAUGACUGAGCGGCCGAAAGUGCUCGCCUGCUAAGCGAGUAGGGGGUGUUAAGCCUCCUCGAGGGUUCAAAUCCCUCUCCCUCCGCCA